rnacentral:rRNA from 1 species
AUCUAUAACCAUACUAACCUGAGUGCAACGGAUCCCAUCUGAUCUUGGAAGCUAAGAAGGGUUGGGCCUGGUUAGUACUUGAAUGAGAGGAAUACCCUUGAGUAACACAGAUCUAGAUA